rnacentral:lncRNA from 1 species
UUUUUUUUUUUUUUUUUUUUUUUAAAUCUCUGCUUAACUAGACUCAGAAUGUCUACAAGGCAUCAUCUAAAUUUGGGACACACAUGCUGAUUGAAGUCUGGUUCACUCUCACUAAUUAUAUGACUUUUAAACACAUUAUGUAGACUUAAUUUCUUUAUUGGUAAAAUGGGAAUUAGUAUACCCAUUUUGACAGGUGGCCAUAAGGUUUAAAGUAAAUCAGAUUAUAAGAUGUGUCUAAUAAUAUCGAGGGCACACAAAUUAGUAUCUUCAUCCCUCAUGUUAUCUUCUAACAUCAGAAGUAUGAGAAUUUCUGACAAAGGCAAGAGGAAAAGUAGGCAGAGUUCAUGCAGGUGGGGACCACAGUUGUCACUGUGGUUAUUAAUGCUGGUUUUCUCUUUGCCUUAUUUUUAAUAGUUAUUAUGGCAUCUUAUAAUCUCAGGGGAUAUAUCUCAAAUAUUCAAUUGUAAAAAAUAGCUUUAUUAUUAGAAAACCAAUUCUUCUAACUCUGCCCACUGGCUAAAGUAAGUUAUUUUUAAAGAAUAAGUUUGAAUUUGUUAAAUUUAAAUGUGCAUAUUAUUUCAUCGGUUCCUAGAAAUAAGGCUUAGUGACCUACCCAGGGAGUCAGUGUCCUUGCUUGCAUUUGUUUGCUUUGUCUUCAGUAAGAAUGAAUAAACAUUAAUCCAUCCACCUCUGGCUUGCUCCCUAUUGUGAUGACUAACUGUCCCUGUUGCUUGCUAUAUCAGACUAAGAAAUCUGUGGCCUCUAAAUAGAGUGAAUCAAAUGAUAUGUGAGGAAAUAAAAUGCAGCCUCUUGGCCUCCAUGGUAUCAUGUGUUAAUUGAGUUCAACUGGCCACAGAGAGACCAAAUGAGGGGAAAUGUUCUACCUGCUUCACUGCCAUCGAGAGUUUAAACACGAUGAAGCCUGGAAGACCGCUGCAGGACAGCAUAGUGUACUCUACCAUAUUCAUUUUUCAUGAGUUUUCUUCUUGCCUGGCUUUGUAAAACAUUCAUCCCAAUAAAUGAUUUACCAUGGCAGGAAAGAUGCAGGAAAUUGAUCGGAGCUCGCCUUCGAACAUUAUGAAGACCCUGAAGUCUAAUCAGGUUCCAGGGAGGACUCCGAGGUGGCAGACAUUUAUGAACAGAAAUGGGAAAAACACACUAGGAAAGCACUGCAAAGACUAAUCUGUCUUUCAUUUCAUCUAACAAUGUUCAUUCUGAGUGUUCCUUCUUUGAAGGAAGGCCAUCUGCUGUAAAUUUAUUUUUCAUUAAUGACAGUAACCUUUUAAACUCCAUUAGUAGCUGCUUUCUCAGCCUAAAUGUAGGGAUGCCUGUGGGAUA